GAUGAACGCUGGCGGCGUGCCUAAUACAUGCAAGUCGAGCGAACAGACGAGGAGCUUGCUCCUCUGACGUUAGCGGCGGACGGGUGUGUAACACGUGGAUAACCUCCUUAUCAGACUGGGAUAACUUCGGGAAACCGGAGCAUAUACCGGAUAAUCUAUUGCACCGCAUGGUGCAAUGGUGAAAGACGGCUUUGCUGUCACUUAUAGAUGCAUCUGGGCCGCAUUGGCUAGUUGUUAAGGUAACGGGCUACCACGGGAACGAGGCGUAGCCGAGCUGAGAGGGUGAUCGGCCACACGGGAACUGAGACACGGUCCAGACGCCUACGGGAGGCAGCAGUAGGGAAUCUGACGCAAUGGGCGAAAGCCUGACGGAGCAACGCCGCGUGAGUGAUGAAGGUCUUCGGAUCGUAAAACUCUGUUAUUAGGGAAGAACAAAUGUGUAAGUAACUAUGCACGUCGUGACGGUACCUAAUCAGAAAGCCACGGCUAACUACGUG
rnacentral:rRNA from 1 species